AUUGAACGCUGGCGGCAUGCUUUACACAUGCAAGUCGGACGGCAGCACAGAGAAGCUUGCUUCUUGGGUGGCGAGUGGCGAACGGGUGAGUAACAUAUCGGAACGUACCGAGCAGUGGGGGAUAACUAAUCGAAAGAUUAGCUAAUACCGCAUAUUUUCUGAGGAAGAAAGCAGGGGACCAUUUGGCCUUGCGCUGUUUGAGCGGCCGAUAUCUGAUUAGCUAGUUGGUGGGGUAAAGGCCUACCAAGGCGACGAUCAGUAGCGGGUCUGAGAGGAUGAUCCGCCACACUGGGACUGAGACACGGCCCAGACUCCUACGGGAGGCAGCAGUGGGGAAUUUUGGACAAUGGGCGCAAGCCUGAUCCAGCCAUGCCGCGUGUCUGAAGAAGGCCUUCGGGUUGUAAAGGACUUUUGUCAGGGAAGAAAAGGGCGGGGUUAAUACCCCUGUCUGAUGACGGUACCUGAAGAAUAAGCACCGGCUAACUACGUGCCGGCAGCCGCGGUAAUACGUAGGGUGCGAGCGUUAAUCGGAAUUACUGGGCGUAAAGCGGGCGCAGACGGUUACUUAAGCAGGAUGUGAAAUCCCCGGGCUCAACCUGGGAACUGCGUUCUGAACUGGGUGACUAGAGUGUGUCAGAGGGAGGUAGAAUUCCACGUGUAGCAGUGAAAUGCGUAGAGAUGUGGAGGAAUACCGAUGGCGAAGGCAGCCUCCUGGGAUAACACUGACGUUCAUGCCCGAAAGCGUGGGUAGCAAACAGG
rnacentral:rRNA from 1 species